rnacentral:lncRNA from 12 species
AUCAGUUUCAAUUAAAACAAGCCACAGAGGAAGAGUGCUGCUGCCGUGUUGGCUGUGGAUCCUCAUUACUCUCACAAGCAGGUUCAACUAUUUUAAGAAAUAAACACCAGAGAGGAGCAGAAACCAUAGCCUGAUGCCUUGGAAGUGUUGCUUAACUUUGUGAUGGGAAAUGGAAUGGAGGUAAGAAAUAAAGGUAGAGUCUUC